CCUUACCAAUAAAAAAUUAACAAGGUCAGAGUAGACGCAGUCAAAAUUCAUGAUGACAAGCUAGUGUGGAAACUUGAAGGCAGUGUCACUAUCAGUCUUUCACUUCUACUUGUUGUUGGUUUACCAUUCCUAUUCUCAACACACCACGAGCCGCGUUUCCUUUUUUUUUUUUUUUAGGUAUUGUAGAAAGUGUAAUUUGCUAAGAAGCUUGACUCAAUACUGAAAAACACGCCCACAUG
rnacentral:lncRNA from 1 species